UACGAAGGGUGCAAGCGUUAAUCGGAAUUACUGGGCGUAAAGCGCACGUAGGCGGUUUUUUAAGUCAGAUGUGAAAGCCCCGGGCUCAACCUGGGAAUUGCAUUUGAAACUGGGGAACUAGAGUGUGUGAGAGGGGGGUAGAAUUCCAAGUGUAGCGGUGAAAUGCGUAGAGAUUUGGAGGAAUACCAGUGGCGAAGGCGGCCCCCUGGCACAACACUGACGCUCAGGUGCGAAAGCGUGGGGAGCAAACAGG
rnacentral:rRNA from 1 species